AGAGACAAAAUCAUUGGGACACCAAAUCUGUUAAAGCAGGCAUCACUCUUGUUUCAAUGUGGUUUUCACAGCAUCUCAAUGCCGUUUCAUGCUGUUUAGAAAUCAUAAACAGCUCUGGAGACGUGCCUCACUCAGUCGUGGGAAUCUCCAGUCAUCAAUUCAGGAGACAAUAACACCAAAUUUGUUCAAUGUGCGUUUAACAACAUUCUGAAACGUCAUAAGUAAUGCAGGCUGUCUCGCAUGCAGUCUUUCAGCACUGAAACGUUGUAGAGUCGAAGUGUAUAGCGCUGCCUUAGUCCAGACAGCAUGCUAUUGUGAACUUGUCUCCAGUCAAUUGGCUCGAUAAUUUUGAGCUCUCGUGCAUGCAGCGGCAUACAUCUGAGGGACAUGGACUUCCAUGGGCCAACGAUGAAUAUUACUCUAUUUUCUCAUAGGUCACAGCCACGGAAGAAUGCGAUGCCGCUCAAUACGACCUUGGCCAACGAUGAAUAUCACUCUAUUUUUUCAUAGGUCACAGCCUAGGAAGAACGCGAUGCCGCUCAAUACGACCUCUAUGAGUGGUAUUAGCACUUGGUGCUCAUUCCCUUGAGGAAGGAAAGGUGACAUUGCAAGGGCAUAUUGGCAAGCAUAUCGAUGGCCAUCAAAUUUUCAUUUUAAGGUUGCAUUGCAUUAUAUGAUUUCAAGA
rnacentral:lncRNA from 1 species